UACGGAGGGUGCAAGCGUUAUCCGGAUUCACUGGGUUUAAAGGGUGCGUAGGAGGGCAGGUAAGUCAGUGGUGAAAUCCCCGAGCUUAACUUGGGAACUGCCGUUGAUACUAUCUGUCUUGAAUACCGUGGAGGUGAGCGGAAUAUGUCAUGUAGCGGUGAAAUGCUUAGAUAUGACAUAGAACACCAAUUGCGAAGGCAGCUCGCUACACGAAUAUUGACUCUGAGGCACGAAAGCGUGGGGAU
rnacentral:rRNA from 2 species